UACGAAGGUCCCAAGCGUUAUCCGGAUUUAUUGGGUUUAAAGGGUGCGUAGGCGGGUUAUUAAGUCAGUGGUGAAAGCCUUCAGCUUAACUGAAGAAUUGCCAUUGAUACUGAUGAUCUUGAGUAUGAUUGAGGUGGGCGGAAUGUGUCAUGUAGCGGUGAAAUGCUUAGAUAUGACACAGAACACCGAUUGCGAAGGCAGCUCACUAAGUCAUAACUGACGCUGAUGCACGAAAGCGUGGGAGCAACAGG
rnacentral:rRNA from 1 species